GGGGAUAGAGCUCAGCGGCACAGCACCUGCCUGGCAAGCACAAGGUCUUGGGUUCAAUUCCCAGUGCCA
rnacentral:tRNA from 1 species